rnacentral:rRNA from 1 species
UACGUAGGGCGCGAGCGUUGUCCGGAAUUAUUGGGCGUAAAGAGCUCGUAGGCGGUUUGUCGCGUCGGUUGUGAAAACCCAAGGCUCAACCUUGGGCCUGCAAUCGAUACGGGCAGACUAGAGUGUGGUAGGGGAGACUGGAAUUCCUGGUGUAGCGGUGGAAUGCGCAGAUAUCAGGAGGAACACCGAUGGCGAAGGCAGGUCUCUGGGCCAUUACUGACACUGAGAAGCGAAAGCAUGGGGAGCGAACAGG